CAAGCAAUGCUUGCCACACUCAUCAGGUGAAUUUUAAAUUCACCUGAUGAGUGUGGCAAGCAUUGCUUGUC
rnacentral:miRNA from 1 species